rnacentral:misc_RNA from 1 species
AAGUCGUAACAAGGUUUCCGUAGGUGAACCUGCGGAAGGAUCAUUACCAACGUAUCCACGUUUACCCACCCUUUGUGAAUUUGUUUUUCUCCCUCCCUUUUAAUUUUUAUUAAUGUAUAUGAAUAGGUUUGUAAAGAAGACCAUGAGGACAGUAGUUUGCCGGUUUGUUUCACUACAAGCUGGGUCAUGGAUUUCAACGGGAUUUGACUUUGUCGAAUUCGACUAUUGCAAUACAGGGGAGACUUUAUCUUAUGCUGCAUAGUGUACUGCUGGCUAUGUGCAUAGGAUUUGUUUUUACUACACUUUAUCACCUUAAUUUUUGCUAGUUGACUGAUCUGAACUGUUGAUGUUUUCAUCGACACGUUUAAUUUAUUUAAACAUUAAGAAACAACUCUUAGCAAUGGAUAUCUAGGUUCUC